rnacentral:rRNA from 1 species
AGCGAACGCUGGCGGCAGGCUUAACACAUGCAAGUCGAGCGGGCGUAGCAAUACGUCAGCGGCAGACGGGUGAGUAACGCGUGGGAACGUACCUUUUGGUUCGGAACAACACAGGGAAACUUGUGCUAAUACCGGAUAAGCCCUUACGGGGAAAGAUUUAUCGCCGAAAGAUCGGCCCGCGUCUGAUUAGCUAGUUGGUGAGGUAACGGCUCACCAAGGCGACGAUCAGUAGCUGGUCUGAGAGGAUGAUCAGCCAUAUUGGGACUGAGACACGGCCCAAACUCCUACGGGAGGCAGCAGUGGGGAAUAUUGGACAAUGGGGGCAACCCUGAUCCAGCCAUGCCGCGUGAGUGAUGAAGGCCCUAGGGUUGUAAAGCUCUUUUGUGCGGGAAGAUAAUGACGGUACCGCAAGAAUAAGCCCCGGCUAACUUCGUG